UUUUUUUCUUUUUGGUAAUAUUAGAAUGAAAUAGUUAUAUAGAGUAAUAUGAUCGGUGAGAAUUUUUGCUAAGGAUAAUAUAUUUUAUUUAUGUAAAAUGAUUGUUACAAAAAAGUCAUACUUCUCCAUAGUACCUGAUUUGAAGGGUCAUUAACAUAAUCGUCAUGUAUAAAGGAACGUGGAGAAGUAUAACAUGGUAUGAUAGAAAUAGCAUUAUUAGCACAACCAUAUUUAGACAAAAUACAGAUACAAUAUUGACUUCUCGAAAAAUACAUUGCGUGCAUCAUGCAGCCUUCCAGGAUCAUCGAUCAAUCAUGACUUGCAUAAGGUGGUUGUGAUUUAUCAAUUGACAUGAAUUGAGCUUUUGGUCGACAUAGGCAUGUUAUUUUCUUUGGUUUUGAAAUGACUACUCGCAUUAAGAGUUAAAUGGGCCAACAUGUAGUCCAUAUAUAGUCCCAAAUGUAGGCAAAAUGGUUCUUGCUAACCACGGCGGAGUUAGUGUGUUGAUUACAGUUUCGAUUGUAUUCAGUAACUUUAGUUCAAACUCUAAAUUUGUAAUAAGAAAUUCAUUGAUUAUGUACAAAUUAUUAAUUUAGAACCUACUAACAUAAAUAAUUAAAAUUCCAAACACGUAAAAACUUCAUAUUUUGUCUCCGUCUUUGUUGCUACCAAUCCAAAAAUAUUGCAAAAUAUAGAAACGUCUAGGGGAUGGCUAUAAGUAUUAACUGACACAUCAAUAAAGCUAGCCUAACGCGUAGCACAUCACUCACCACUUUCGUACAUCUUUGGGGAUGAUAUUUAGCUUAUGGAUGAACAAAGUCAUUACAAAAUAAUAAUAAAAAAGCAUAAUAUAUAAAUGUGGCAUUAAACUUGGCCUCAUUCGACAUUUAUGUCCUCCAACUUUGAGUGUGCAUAAGUAGACACUUAAAAUUUGUAUAAAGUUGAACAAGUAGACACAUGAGUUCUAUCAAUAUGGCAUAAUACACGUAAGACACAAAUUGUCAUGUAGAAUGCCAUGUAGAACGGAGUUUCUUGAAGACUACGAGAUCAAUGAACACCUUUGGUAUCUAGAGUAUGGACCAGCCACAACAAUCUCUAAAUUUAUCCUUGGAUCAACACAACUUGUUCACAUGAUGGAAAACUGGUGAUUACAAAACUAAGUUUUUACUAUGAAGGUUUGCCCAUAGAGUAAUUAAACAGACGUGAAGAGUUCAAGAUCACUCAUUUUUAAUUGAAGUCAUCGAGUAUAAAUGUUUUGAUGGAAAAUCCACCCUAGACUCUAUCUCCUUUUUUAGUUUUUAAUUUAAGAACUAUUACUAACACUUACUACUAAAAACUUUAAAUUAUUUCUUAUUUGGCUGUAAUAGAGCAUAUUAAUAUUAUUAUUAUUAUUAUAUAUAACACAAGAAAGAAAUGGGAUUUCACAAGUUAACUUUCCAGCAUGAAAUGAGUCAAUUUUCCACUUUGGUCCAACUCAAUUUUUUAGAGGGCCUUGACCAUAACUUACUUAAUUAUAUAAAAAUGUAUUUGUGGAAGUUUUUAAUGGAGUGCAUAUGUAAUAAAUAAGUUUAAAAAACUAUACUUACAGUCAUCAAAGCAUUCACAAAUAAUUGGUAUUGGCUACUUGGCUUAGUGACAUUAACCAAAUGGAUAAUUUACAAUCAUUAGAAAACAACUCCACCUAAAAUAUAUAUGUACUAAUACACUAGAAAAAAUAAUCAUUUGGCAUGUUUUUUUGAAUAUAAAUAAGAAAUAAUCAUUACUAAUGGAACUUGAGGCUUAUAAUAGCCCUUUGGGGUCAAAAAAGGCCAUCAUUAUAAUAAUAAUCAAAAGUUUGUGGAAAUCACUAGUUUCGUCAUUUAAAUGAUAUAUAGAUGAUGUAGGGAUGUUUAAUUCAAUAAAAAUCUUAAUAAAAAAUAUAACUUUUAAUAGUUACAUGCUAUAAAUUUUAUUCUGUAUAAUUAGUGUAUUUCAUUAUAUAUCGAUUAAAUGUCAAGUGAUAAUUACAAACGAUUACAUUAUACAUCGAGUAUAUAUAUGUCAAGUGAUAAUUACAAACAAUUAUAUUAUACAUCGAGUAUAUAUAUGUCAAGUGGCAGCUACAAAUGAUUAUAUUAUACAUCGAGUAUAUGUCAAGUGACAACAAUAAAUGAUUAUAUUAUACAUAGAGUAUAUGGCAAGUGAUAGUUACAAAUGAUUACAUUAUACAUCGAGUAUAUGUCAAAUGACAACUACAAAUGGUUACGGCUAGGCAAGUGAAUUUUCUUAAUUGCCUGUUAAAAAACGUUAUGAUACCUUGGAUAUAUAGAAAGUUGUAUACAUACUAAUCAAAUAUGAAUAUUUUGAUGGAGAGAACACUUUAAAAAAAAAUCAUAGUUAAUUAUGUUGCAUUAUAACUUAAUUAUGGGUUAUCCACUAAAGAAAUUGUAUUGGCUUCACUAUUGUGAUAAAAGUGCAAUUUAAGUGGUGCUUUAGACUAUGAAUUGUGAUAUACAUUUCAACAAAAAAAUUAGUAAGUUAUUUAAAAGUUGGUAAAGUUGGGCAAAUAGCUAUUAGUGAAAGAAUAUUAAAAGUAAUUCAGUGGAUAAAAUGUUAAUUUACAUUCUAAAGGUGCAAUAUUCGAUAUUAUUAAACCCUUCUCUUUAUAUAUAUAUCGACCCUUAAAAAAGAAUUUUUAAAAAGAUGAUUAUAAGAUAAUAAUUUUGUUUAAUUUUAAGAGCUACGUGAGUGGAAAAAGUUCUUUAAAAAUAAGAGAAUAAAGUUUAAAAUUUGAGUGAAGAAUAACCACAUAUUCUUUAUUUGUACCAAAUAAAUAAAUAAAAAAUAACCACAUAUUCUAGCAUGUUAAUACUGGCUAAUUAAUUUUAAACAUGUACGGCUCUUAAUUAGAAAUCAAUAUUUUAAACCUGUGCGAAAUUGGAUUUUUAAUAAGGGAAAAUUAUGCAAUAGUGUAAAGUGUAAACAUAUGCUAUGUAUUUACCGAAAUAACAAAACUUUGAAAAUAUUAUACUAAUAUAUAGGAAAAGUUUGAAUUUUAUCGGUUUCUCUUUGUUUUGUUCACUUGGAUCAAUUCAACGUAACAAUUUAUUUUGUGUUUGUUCAGUGUGAUACAAAUACAACAAAAUACAAUGCAAAUUGAUACAUUGAACUAUUGCUACAUUUGAUAACUAAUCAAACUAUCUUUAUUAUUUAUAAUUAAGACUCAAGUAACAUAAUUUUAAAUUUUUUUUCUUUAAAAAAUACAGACGAGUUAAGCUGGAAAAAGAUCAAAAUUGAGUGAUCUUUUGAGAUAUUAAUUUUAUGUUCUAGUUACGCAAAUGAUUAAAUAAAAAUGUGUACAUGAUACCAAAAGAAAGAAAAAAAAAAAAUUUCAACGAGACCACGUACGUAAUAUUAAUAUUAACUCAGCACAAUACAUUAAUCCCCAAAAAUAUGUAAUUCGAUCAUCUUGAAUAUCAAUUCGAAAAAUUUCAAAAUCUAAUCAAAUCAGUAACGUGAUUCUCUUCUAUCACAUAAUCCACAAAUUUUAAAGAAAGAUAAUUAGAUUCAUGAACUAGUCAACUUUUUACUCCUAUCAUCAUCUCUUCCUUUUCCAAAUAUGAUAUAUAUAUUCUACCUUUUUAAAUUAUUAUUUUUUUGAAAAAAGUUAAUAUUAUUCUUAAACAUCUUGUAGUGUGUAUCUUCUUUUUCCCUUUAUCAUUUAUUUAUUUAAUAAAAGGAAGGAGGUAGUUAGGAUAUUAUCAUCGUCAUCAUUAUGAGACUAUUUAUUUAAAUAAUAGCCACACACAUGGGCGGGCGAAAAACGAAACAUGAUAUAAUCUUUUUCAUUUCAUUAUAAGAACCCAAGUUUACACUUUUGACGUGUUACUACUUAUAUAUAAGAAGAUAAUUUAAAAUAUUAAGCCUUUUUAAAAUUCUUUAGGAGAGAGAAUAUUCAUUGACAAUUGAAAUCAGCAAGUUACUUAAAAGGGAAAAAGACAGUUUUAAUGAAGAAAAUAAAGGAACUUUUAUAUAAGUUUUGUUAUACACCUAUGUUAAUUCUUCAAUAAAUUGAUUCAUUUUUAUCAUUUACAUGUUUUAUUAUACCAUGUUAAUACUGAGAUAUGUUCAUACAAUUAUUUGUAGUAAUAACUAGCUAGCCACUUUUCAAUUAUUUCACAAUUUCAUACAAUGGCUAUUUUUAAUUACGUCGCUAAAGAAUGGUUAUUUAUGAUUAUUUUUUCCCAGUUACUUUUCUAUCAACAGGGGUGAGACAUAUAUUUAAAAUCUAGACACAACUAAAAAAUAUUCAAACAACUAAAAAAUACUUCAGAUCAUCAAUAGUAUGGAGUUUGAGUACGACUAAAGUUGCAAUAAUUUUAAUUUGUGGCCACAUUUUAAAGAGUAGAGACUAUAUGCCUAAAUGAUCUAUGACUCCUAAUGAGUGAUCAAACCUACAUUAAGGAUAAUUUAUGCAAAUGUUAUUGCUAAAAUUAUCUCUAAAUGCCCCCCAAUUAGAGAGAGUAAAGUAAUAAAAACACAUAAUUUCAUGUUUGCAAUUCUUUGCUCUUUUUGAUAAUUGUAUAAAGGUUGAUUAAGUAAGGAGAAUAACAUAACUUUUUCUAGUUAUUUAAAACAUUAUAAUAGAGCUCCAAGAGUCCUUCGGGAUGACUCAGUUGGUUUGGAGGGUGGUUAUCCACACGGAUAACCAGGGAUCGAUCCCCCCUCAAUGUCUUCUGAGUCGAGCCUGUCACAUAGGGCUUGCCUAGUGCAGAGUUCUCACCCGAAGGAUUUCGCUUUUAUUUUUAGUUUAUUUUCUUUAUUUUUGACAAAUCUCUAAUUAGGAGUUGGAAAUAACAACAGAUAAUUCCUUCCGGUUGUUUAUAAAAUGGCCGUGAGCCGGGAAGUCUUUUUCUAUCUGAAAAUACUUUUAAUUUACUUUGGAUUAGGCGACUGUUAUAGCUCAUGAAUUGUUCAAAUCAAAUAUAUUAAGCCAUUGACAAUAAAUCAGUGAUAAUGUGUGGUUUGCAAGCUAUUACACAGUGGGAGUUUACCCAGUGCGCACAAAGUGCUCACUCGAAGGGCAGAGGUUGUAACGGCUGCGGGUUAUCCUGGGGUUCCAAAAAAAAAAUAGAGAUCCAAGACACUUUCUCUCAACCAAAAAAGAAGGGACUCUACUCCACCUCCUUGUGCCAUCCACCUAUCCACCAUGGUUGUUCCGGUCCCGAACCCUACUUUUCCUCUGAGAAAAAAAAUCACUUCCACUCAUCGCGAAACCCUGAAUCACAACAGAUAUCUGAUCUAGUUCGUGUUAGGGAUAAUCCAAUUCCCAAACACAAACAGGACAUAACACAAGGGAAGCAUAUGAAGAUAAUUUGUUGAUGCAUUAGGCCUGCUAGGCCAUCAUAAUAUAGCCAAUGUACAGCUAACUAAAAGUUGCUCUCUAUUUACGUUUUGCCAAUGCAGUAAAUAAACAUACUAUCACUAUGCACAAUGAUAUCCUAAGCUGGCAAUGCAGCCUAAUGUUGUACCAAUUAUGCACCUCUAAUUGAGUCCACCCUGUCGAUGACAUCCAAAGCUUUCAUGCGGUCAGUGUCAAAGUCAAUCACUGGAACAGAAGACGGUCUCUUGAUAGGGAACGGGUUCCUUCUGGUUUCAUUUAUAGGUGAAUGGCUACUGCUCUUACUCAGCCUGUGGUACUUGCUCAACCCUGUUUUUGCAAAUUCUUGAGACUUGCUAAUCCCUGGAGUUAGUUUUCUCUUGCUUACAUCACGAAGCAUUUCUUGGUCUUCAACCGAUAAUGGGGAUGAUGGAGAGCUUGAUCGGUGAUUAGACAACUCAAUUGUCUUUUGAUUAGGGGAACAGGUUGGAGAUUUUACUGGAGAUCUCACUCCAGUAUUAGCACUUUUCGACUGACUGACAAGAUGAUGGAGCCACACCACUAAUUCAAGAAUAUAUGCUUCUGUUUUCUCCUUAUCUGCAUGAUACAGUGUCUCAAUUCGAAGAAGAUCAACCUGGCUCGAAGAUUUCCUGUUCAUUUCGGACCUACAGAUGAAAAAUAAUUCAAUUAGACAAGCCAAAGGAAGAUACAGACGGAUUAAAAAAUAAGUUCAUAGUGAUUUGAGCUCACCCUGUAUUUGCC
rnacentral:lncRNA from 1 species